rnacentral:misc_RNA from 1 species
GCAGUUGGGCGUCUCCAGGAUAUCAAUCUACCCGUCUCGAAAUGUUUUAGAGGAAAUAGAGUACAAGGUUCUAAUUUCUACAAGUGACAACUUGUAGAAACAUAUUGUACUUGUUGCAUCCAAAAAAUGAAGAAUUUACAGUACUUUAUGGGAUGAGAAUAAUACAAUAAUUGAUUAUUAUUCCAUGGAUGAUGAAUAUAUAUAUGGUGUCAUUAUAAAGUUCGAAUGCUUACAUUUAUAUUUCUCAACAAUGCAAACUAACCAUGUUAUUUUAAUAGACACAAAUGACAUGAUGGUAUGAAUCAAUAUUUGGAUUUUAUUUCAAGUAAAAUGACCUUACUCAAGGAAAGCAAUAGUAGUUUGGUAGACAAAAAAGAACAAUAUUCAAAAUAUGGAGAAGAAAUCAUUAAAUUCCAGACAGAUGAAAGUAGAAUUAACCGACGGAUGUCUCAUAUUGCACCUGAGGGAGGAAUUAGAGGAUAUAUUGUAGUUGUUGCAAGUUUUCUUGUGAAUGGAAUAAUUUUUGGAUCAAUCAAUUCAUUUGGUAUAUUUUUCGUAGAAUUAAAAAAUCAAUUUAAAGAUGUCCCGGAUGUGUCAAGUAAGGUGUCACUUGUGGGUUCCCUUGCCAUUGGAGCGACUUUUUUCUGUUCUCCGAUAUCCGGAGUUUUGACGGACAAAUUGGGAAUUCAAGAAAGUGCAUUUCUUGGUGGUUUGAUUGCUACAAUUGGAAUGUUUCUAUCAUCAUUGGUAUACCAUAAGUUGGAGGCUUUGUACUUUACUUUCCUUCUAUUCGGCAUUGGAUCAUCCAUUAUAUACACUCCCUCAUUGGCUAUACUUGCUCACUACUUUCACAGGCAUAUUGGACUGGUAAAUGGAAUUGUUACAGCUGGGAGCUCAGUCUUCACUAUUAUCAUGCCACAUUUAUUUCGAUUUCUUCUUAAUUCUAUUGGGCUUCAAUGGACAUUCUUCUUUGUUACGGGAAUGAUAUCUAUACUUCUCAUUGCGGCUCUAACAUUUCGACCUCUAUUCAAACCUGAUAUUGGAGAAAAUUUAUACGAAUCUAAUAACUUCUUAAAAGCUCAUCUCAACUUCAGUGUUUUGAAAAAUAAGAAAUACAUUGUUUGGGCAUCUGGAAUUGGUAUGGCUUUAUUAGGAUAUUUUAUUCCAUAUGUAUAUUUACCAGCAUAUGUUGGAGAUCUUAAUAAGCAAUUGAAUAAAGAUUUUGACGGAGGAUUUCUCCUUACAUGUAUUGGACUUACUUCUGGUAUUGGAAGAGUUAUUUUUGGAAAAGUAUCUGAUAUGAAAUGUAUUGACCCUGUUUUUCUCCAACAAAUUGCAUUUUUCUUAAUUGGACUUUGCUCUAUGCUCCUAACUCUUGCGCCUCUUUUGGGAAACUAUGCAUUUAUAUUCCUUGGAUUUAUAUCUCUCAUCAUGGGACUAUUUGAUGGUUGUUUCAUUUCACUUUUGGGACCCAUUGCAAUUAAAUUUUGUGGUGCAAAGGGAGCUUCUCAGGCUAUUGGAUUUUUACUUGGUAUUACCUCAGUUCCACUGACUGUAGGACCUCCAAUUGCAGAUAACUAGAAUAUGUUAUGUUUGCUGUGGAGAGUUCAGACAGAAAUCAGGAAGAAUGAUUUAUUAAUUUUUUCACAUCAUAUACAGUCCAAUAUUUAGAGACAAAUUUCGUCCAAUUGGGAUACCCAAGAAUAACAACUACGGAAUACUCUAUGAUCAUAUGAAAACUUUCACAAUUCCAUUUUUAAUAUUUGGUAUUCCACCUAUAGUGGGAUCCAUCUUCCUUCUCAUACUUUUGAAGUAUAGAAAUCAA